UCGACCUGAGGUCAGGCUAGAACACCCGCUGAACUUA
rnacentral:rRNA from 1 species